rnacentral:rRNA from 1 species
AACGAACGCUGGCGGCAUGCCUAACACAUGCAAGUCGAACGAGACCUUCGGGUCUAGUGGCGCACGGGUGCGUAACGCGUGGGAACCUGCCCUUAGGUUCGGAAUAACUCCCCGAAAGGGGUGCUAAUACCGGAUAAUGUCUUCGGACCAAAGAUUUAUCGCCUUUGGAUGGGCCCGCGUUGGAUUAGCUAGUUGGUAGGGUAAAAGCCUACCAAGGCGACGAUCCCUAGCUGGUCUGAGAGGAUGAUCAGCCACACUGGGACUGAGACACGGCCCAGACUCCUACGGGAGGCAGCAGUGGGGAAUAUUGGACAAUGGGCGAAAGCCUGAUCCAGCAAUGCCGCGUGAGUGAUGAAGGCCUUAGGGUUGUAAAGCUCUUUUACCCGGGAUGAUAAUGACAGUACCGGGAGAAUAAGCACCGGCUAACUCCGUG